rnacentral:rRNA from 1 species
GACGAACGCUGGCGGCGUGCCUAAUACAUGCAAGUCGAACGCAGUGGGGACGGGUGAGUAACACGUGGGUAACCUCCCAUCAGAGGGGAUAACACUUGGAAACAGGUGCUAAACCGAUACUGAUGGAUGAACCCGCGGUGCAUUAGCUAGUUGGUGGGGUAACGGCUCACCAAGGCCACGAUGCAUAGCCGACCUAAGAGGGUGAUCGGCCACACGGGGACUGAGACACGGCCCAGACUCCAACGGGAGGCAGCAGUAGAGAAUCUUCGGCGAUUGACGAAAGUCUGACCGAGCAACGCCGAGAGAGUGAAGAAGGUUUUCGGAACGUAGAACUCUGUUGUUAGUGAAGCGGUAUCUAACCAGAAAGCCACGGCUAACUACGUGCCAGCAGCCGCGUAAUUC